UACGUAGGGGGCUAGCGUUGUCCGGAAUCAUUGGGCGUAAAGAGCGCGUAGGCGGCCAGAUAAGUCCGGUGUGAAAGUCACAGGCUCAACCUGUGAAUGCCGCUGGAAACUGUCUGGCUAGAGUCCGGAAGGGGCGAGUGGAAUUCCUGGUGUAGCGGUGAAAUGCGCAGAUAUCAGGAGGAACACCAGCGGCGAAGGCGGCGCUCUGGGCCGGUACUGACACUGAGGAGCGAAAGCGUGGGUAGCAAACAGG
rnacentral:rRNA from 1 species